rnacentral:rRNA from 1 species
AGAUUGAACGCUGGCGGCAUGCCUAACACAUGCAAGUCGAACGGUAACAGGCCCUUCGGGGUGCUGACGAGUGGCGGACGGGUGAGUAAUGCGUAGGAAUCUACCCACGAGUGGGGGAUAGCCCGGAGAAAUCCGGAUUAAUACCGCAUACGACCGAGAGGUGAAAGCGGGGGACCGGAAAGGCCUCGCGCAGCAGGAUGAGCCGAUGUCCGAUUAGCUGGUUGGUGGGGUAACGGCCCACCAAGGCGACGAUCGGUAGCUGGUCUGAGAGGAUGAUCAGCCACACUGGGACUGAGACACGGCCCAGACUCCUACGGGAGGCAGC